rnacentral:rRNA from 1 species
UAGGGAAUCUCCCACAAUGGACGCAAGUCUGAUGGAGCAACGCCGCGUGAGUGAAGAAGGUUUUCGGAUCGUAAAGCUCUGUUGUUGGUGAAGAAGGAUAGAGGUAGUAACUGGCCUUUAUUUGACGGUAAUCAACCAGAAAGUCACGGCUAACUACGUGCCAGCAGCCGCGGUAAUACGUAGGUGGCAAGCGUUGUCCGGAUUUAUUGGGCGUAAAGCGAGCGCAGGCGGAAGAAUAAGUCUGAUGUGAAAGCCCUCGGCUUAACCGAGGAACUGCAUCGGAAACUGUUUUUCUUGAGUGCAGAAGAGGAGAGUGGAAUUCCAUGUGUAGCGGUGGAAUGCGUAGAUAUAUGGAAGAACACCAGUGGCGAAGGCGACUCUCUGGUCUGCAACUGACGCUGAGGCUCGAAAGCAUGGGUAGCGAACAGG